GGGAACUCGGCAAAUUGAUACCGUAACUUCGGGAGAAGGUAUGCCCCUGGUACGUGAAGGCCCUUGCGGCCGGAGCGGAACGGGGUCGCAGAGAAUCGGUGGCUGCGACUGUUUAUUAAAAACACAGCACUCUGCAAACACGAAAGUGGACGUAUAGGGUGUGACGCCUGCCCGGUGCCGGAAGGUUAAGUGAUGGGGUGCAAGCUCUUGAUCGAAGCCCCGGUAAACGGCGGCCGUAACAAUAACGGUCCUAAGGUAGCGAAAUUCCUUGUCGGGUAAGUUCCGACCUGCACGAAUGGCGUAACGAUGGCCACACUGUCUCCUCCUGAGACUCAGCGAAGUUGAAAUGUUUGUGAAGAUGCAAUCUCCCCGCGGCUAGACGGAAAGACCCCAUGAACCUUUACUGUAGCUUUGCAUUGGACUUUGACGGGACUUGUGUAGGAUAGGUGGGAGGCUUUGAAGCCGGGACGCUAGUUCCGGUGGAGCCAUCCUUGAAAUACCACCCUGGUGUCGUCGAGGUUCUAACCCAGGCCUGUGAAUCCAGGUCGGGGACCGUGCAUGGUGGGUAGUUUGACUGGGGCGGUCUCCUCCCAAAAGGUAACGGAGGAGUACGAAGGUCACCUAGGUACGGUCGGACAUCGUACUGAUAGUGCAAUGGCAAAAGGUGGCUUGACUGCGAGACCCACAAGUCGAGCAGGCGCGAAAGCAGGUCAUAGUGAUCCGGUGGUUCUGUAUGGAAGGGCCAUCGCUCAACGGAUAAAAGGUACUCUGGGGAUAACAGGCUGAUUCCGCCCAAGAGUUCACAUCGACGGCGGAGUUUGGCACCUCGAUGUCGGCUCAUCACAUCCUGGGGCUGUAGCCGGUCCCAAGGGUAUGGCUGUUCGCCAUUUAAAGUGGUACGUGAGCUGGGUUUAAAACGUCGUGAGACAGUUUGGUCCCUAUCUGCCGUGGGCGCUGGAAGUUUGAGAGGGCCUGCUCCUAGUACGAGAGGACCGGAGUGGACGCACCCCUGGUGUACCGGUUGUGACGCCAGUCGCAUCGCCGGGUAGCUAUGUGCGGAAGAGAUAACCGCUGAAAGCAUCUAAGCGGGAAACUCGCCUCAAGAUGAGACUUCCCCGGGGCCUCGAGCCCCCUGAGGGGUCGUUGAAGACCACAACGUUGAUAGGUCGGGUGUGUAAGCGUGGCAACACGUUCAGCUAACCGAUACUAAUUGCCCGUGUGGCUUGAUCCC
rnacentral:rRNA from 1 species